AGCAAUCUGCCCAUAUCUGGGGGAUAACAGUUGGAAACGACUGAUAAUACCGCAUAACAUGGUUUGAAGGCAUCUUCUUUCCAUCAAAGAUUUAUCGGAUAUGGAUGAGCUCGCGUCUGAUUAGCUUGUUGGUGAGGUACGGCUCACCAAGGCGACGAUCAGUAGCCGACCUGAGAGGGUGAUCGGCCACAUUGGAACUGAGACACGGUCCAAACUCCUACGGAAGGCAGCAG
rnacentral:rRNA from 1 species